rnacentral:rRNA from 1 species
UACGUAGGGGGCUAGCGUUGUCCGGAAUCAUUGGGCGUAAAGCGCGUGUAGGCGGUCCGGUAAGUCCGCUGUGAAAGUCGGGGGCUCAACCCUCGGAUGCCGGUGGAGUACUGUCGGGCUUGAGUACGGAAGAGGCGAGUGGAAUUCCUGGUGUAGCGGUGAAAUGCGCAGAUAGUCAGGAGGAACACCAAUUGCGAAGGCAGCUCGCUGGGACGUUACUGACGCUGAGACGCGAAAGCGUGGGGAGCAAACAGG